UAAGUACUCCAUCCGUCUCAAAAUUCUUGUCUUAAAUUUGUUUAGAAAUGGAUGUAUCUANAUACUAAAACGUGACUAGAUAUAUUCAUAUCUAGACAAACGUACGACAAGAAUUUUGGGCGGAGGGAGUAGUUC
rfam:Hordeum vulgare subsp. vulgare, WGS project CAJW01000000 data, contig: morex_contig_1906383